GACGAACGCUGGCGGCGUGCCUAAUACAUGCAAGUAGAACGCUGAAGAGAGGAGCUUGCUCUUCUGGGAUGAGUUGCGAACGGGUGAGUAACGCGUAGGUAACCUGCCUUGUAGCGGGGGGUAACUAUUGGAAACGAUAGCUAAUACCGCAUAACAAUGGAUGACACAUGUCAUUUAUGUGAAAGGGGCAAUUGCUCCACUACAAGAUGGACCUGCGUUGUCUUAGAUAGUAGGGGAGGUAAGGGCUCACCUAGGCGACGAUACAUAGCCGACCUGAAAGGGUGCUAGGCCAAGCUGGGAUGGAGGCACGGCCCACAACCCUACGGGAGGGAGCCGUAGGGAAUCUUUGGCAAUGGGGGCAAUCCUGACCGAGCCACGCCGCGUGAGUGCAGAAGGUUUUCGGAUCGUAAAGCUCUGUUGUAAGUCAAGAACGGGUGUGAGAGUGGACAGUUCACACUGUGACGGUAGCUUACCAGAAAGGGACGGCUAACUACGUG
rnacentral:rRNA from 1 species